rnacentral:rRNA from 1 species
AAUAUUUGUCAAUGGGCGCAAGCCUGAUCUAGCCAUGCCGCGUGAGUGAUGAAGGCCCAAGGGUUGUAAAGCUCUUCCUACGGCGAAGAUAAUGCCGGUAAACGUACAAGAAGCCCCUGCUACCUUCGUGCUAGCAGCCGCGGUAAUACGAAGGGGGCUAGCGUUGUUCGGAAUUACUGGGCGUAAAGCGCACGUAGGCGGAUUGGGCAGUUAGGAGUGAAAUCCCAGGGCUCAACCCUGGAACUGCCUUUAAUACUGCCGGUCUAGAGUUCGAGAGAGGUGAGUGGAAUUCCGAGUGUAGAGGUGAAAUUCGUAGAUAUUCGGAGGAACACCAGUGGCGAAGGCGGCUCACUGGCUCGAUACUGACGCUGAGGUGCGAAAGCGUGGGGAGCAAACAG